CAGAGAUGAGAAUGUGCCUUCGGGAACCGUGAGACAGGUGCUGCAUGGCUGUCGUCAGCUCGUGUUGUGAAAUGUUGGGUUAAGUCCCGCAACGAGCGCAACCCUUAUCCUUUGUUGCCAGCGGUCCGGCCGGGAACUCAAAGGAGACUGCCAGUGAUAAACUGGAGGAAGGUGGGGAUGACGUCAAGUCAUCAUGGCCCUUACGACCAGGGCUACACACGUGCUACAAUGGCGCAUACAAAGAGAAGCGACCUCGCGAGAGCAAGCGGACCUCAUAAAGUGCGUCGUAGUCCGGAUUGGAGUCUGCAACUCGACUCCAUGAAGUCGGAAUCGCUAGUAAUCGUGGAUCAGAAUGCCACGGUGAAUACGUUCCCGGGCCUUGUACACACCGCCCGUCACACCAUGGGAGUGGGUUGCAAAAGAAGUAGGUAGCUUAACCUUCGGGAGGGCGCUUACCACUUUGUGAUUCAUGACUGGGGUGAAGUCGUAACAAGGUAAGCGUAGCGAG
rnacentral:rRNA from 1 species